rnacentral:rRNA from 1 species
AGUGAACGCUGGCGGUAGGCCUAACACAUGCAAGUCGAACGGCAGCACAGUAAGAGCUUGCUCUUACGGGUGGCGAGUGGCGGACGGGUGAGGAAUACAUCGGAAUCUACUUUUUCGUGGGGGAUAACGUAGGGAAACUUACGCUAAUACCGCAUACGACCUACGGGUGAAAGGAGGGGAUCUUCUGACCUUGCGCGAUUGAAUGCGCCGAUGUCGGAUUAGCUAGUUGGCGGGGUAAAGGCCCACCAAGGCGACGAUCCGUAGCUGGUCUGAGAGGAUGAUCAGCCACACUGGAACUGAGACACGGUCCAGACUCCUACGGGAGGCAGCAGUGGGGAAUAUUGGACAAUGGGCGCAAGCCUGAUCCAGCCAUACCGCGUGGGUGAAGAAGGCCUUCGGGUUGUAAAGCCCUUUUGUUGGGAAAGAAAAGCAGCAGGUUAAUACCCCGCUGUUCUGACGGUACCCAAAGAAUAAGCACCGGCUAACUUCGUG